UUUUUUUAAAUCUCAAAUGAUCAGAAUCAAUGCUUUUGAUACUGAAGUGGAAGAAACUCUUCCUCAUCCUCCAAUGGAGUAGGUGAAGGACAGGAAUUUUUUUAUCUUAUUUGUUUUAACGGUGGUUCGCUCGAUCUUAACAAUCAUCUGUGAGUUCACAUCUCAAUCUACCGUUAGUUUAUUUUUGUUUUUAUGCAAACUAUCUAUUAUUUUUUAGACGGUUUAUAAUGUGAGGUUGCUAGAUUAAUUUUUCUAUAAUAUUGAU
rnacentral:lncRNA from 1 species